UACAGAGGGGGCAAGCGUUGUUCGGAAUUACUGGGCGUAAAGGGCGCGUAGGCGGCCUUCUAAGUCGAACGUGAAAUCCCUGGGCUCAACCCAGGAACUGCGUCCGAUACUGGAAGGCUUGAAUCCGGGAGAGGGAUGCGGAAUUCCAGGUGUAGCGGUGAAAUGCGUAGAGAUCAGGAAGAACACCGGUGGCGAAAGCGUUCUGCUAGACCUGUACUGACACUGAGGGACGAAAGCUAGGGGAGCGAAUGGG
rnacentral:rRNA from 1 species